rfam:Oryza nivara chromosome 9, whole genome shotgun sequence.
UGGAAAAAACAACAAAGCGAGUAAGUUAGGAGAAGGUGACCUUUUCUCUUUUUCUGAAGUAAAGGUUGGAGCUCUGCCCAUUAUAUUAAGAAGUUGGUUUCGGAAUACAAUUCGAGGAUAUUACAUGGAACAAAAAGCAACUGAACUUUCCC